rnacentral:ncRNA from 1 species
AACGAUAAAGGCAAACUUGGUGAAAGCCAAGGACGCAAAGCCAUGGGUCUUCCAUGUUAAGGUGAAGAUAGCCGGGUUACCAUAU